GACGAACGCUGGCGGCGUGCUUAACACAUGCAAGUCGAGCGGUAAGGCCCUUUCGGGGGUACACGAGCGGCGAACGGGUGAGUAACACGUGGGUGACCUGCCCUCAGCUCUGGGAUAAGCCUGGGAAACCGGGUCUAAUACCGGAUAUGACUCCAUGACGCAUGUUGUGGGGUGGAAAGCCUUGUGCGGCUGAGGAUGGGCCCGCGGCCUAUCAGCUUGUUGGGUGGGGUGAUGGCCUACCAAGGCGACGACGGGUAGCCGGCCUGAGAGGGUGUCCGGCCACACUGGGACUGAGAUACGGCCCAGACUCC
rnacentral:rRNA from 1 species